CUAUAACAUCAUUAGCUACAAAAGAAUUUCCUACAUCCUUAUUCCAGUUACCUGCUGUCACAAACAAGCAGAUCUUUGUUUUUCCUUUUCAUAAAUCCAAUUAAGCUCAACCUUUAAAAUAAUCUUGUUCAGUUUUGUUCUCCUUGCUUCUCUUUGAAGGCUCCUUAAAAAUGUCAGAGACUAGAAACUUCAGUGUAUUUCUGGCCAGCAUAUAAGCCAACUACAAAUUACCUUUGGGAGUUGUCAUCUUUUAACAUGUGUUUUAAAAGAGAUACUGGCCUCUGAGCUAUUUCAGUAACAUAUAGAUAUCCUUGUUCUUUCCAACUCGAAUCUGCUUGUCUCUUCCGACUCUGGCAAAUGGCAGAUAUGCAAGAAAAAGAGCAGAGCUAGUCUGGGAGCCAGACAUUGAAGGAGCCAGUUUGCCAGAAAACUGGUGACUGCUUAUUUGAUAGUUUCAUUUACUUCUAAUGAUAAAGCCUAAAUAAAAGAACUGCCAGUUAAUGUUCAGUUGCAAAUAUGAAUACAAAGAACUAGCGAUGGGGACAGUGGCUAUUUUGACUACCUCUAUUUGUCUGAGGCUUUAUCAGAUGCUGUAUCUAUAAUGAAGAUGUGGUUUUGCCUAUGAAAGAGCCUGUGAGACUGAAAUUGCCUGGGUUAUACUUGCUGCAGAGGACUCUUCUUUUUCCACCCCUAAAAUAAAAUCCUCUUCAACUGACUUCAAUUCUCAUGUAAAAAUGAAAGAAAUGACUCUUUAUUUAGAAAUCGAUGACUCUCAAAAGCUGAUCUUGAGUAGGAGUAUCAGUUUACAACAUCAGAGCAGGAAGCUUUCACCAUACUUACAAUCUUAAGCAAUGUCUUCUUCAACACCAUCUACUGAAGUGUUUACUAAGGAGGUUUUUCCUCAGGUUGUUUCAGAAACUUAGGAAAGGCCUGUCUGAAAUAAAACAGUAGCAGCUUUCCUCAGACAGCCUCUCCCUGUGCUCUCUCCAUCUCCCCCAACAUCUGCUCUGUUUAAA